AAUAAACCGUACGGGGAACGAAGAGAGAAAAUCCCACAAGGAUUCAGGUGAAAAUCACCGCAUGCGCUGUGAGACGUGAACCAGACACUCGCAGGAGCUCAGGACUAGGAAUAAACCUGAGCUUGAGAUCAACUACAACAGGGAAUAAACAGGAACUAUAUAAACCAUAUAAACAGCUUUUAGGAACCAUAGAUAUCUACACCUAGAUGUCGCCUUGGGGUUCUAAAAAUGUGCCCAAACCGCCGCCAUCUUGGAACAGGGGUCUUGUACUUCGGAUUCAUGGACGAUGGCGGACUUUUGGGCUGCGUUUGGUUGUUUAAAUGAACGGAAUUUAAAAAGCAGAUAGCAAGGGGUUACUUUUCACAGCAGCAUGCUCAGGGGUAAAAUUCCUGCGUCCUCGCUCCUCUUACUUCUGACAGCGAUCCCUCAGCAGCUCUCCUCAGCUCAGAGCAGUGAGACGGAGGCCGAGCGCUUCGUCCCCACCGGCGGGCCGUGUUUUAUUUCCGUCGUGGAGAGAUUGUUUCCAGACGAUGCUCUUCAAGGACGAGCUGCGAACUGUGACAAAGCUCUGAAUCCAGAGAGGGACUCAUCGCUCACCACACAUUAUUAUUAGUAUUAUUAUUAUUAGUGUGUACUUUCAGUGCCCUGGUGGUCUAAUAAAGCAGAGACUCAGUAACA